rnacentral:rRNA from 1 species
GGCAAUUGGAAUGAGAACAAUUUAAAUCCCUUAUCGAGGAUCAAUUGGAGGGCAAGUCUGGUGCCAGCAGCCGCGGUAAUUCCAGCUCCAAUAGCGUAUAUUAAAGUUGUUGCCGUUAAAAAGCUCGUAGUUGGAUUUCUGGUGGGGCUGUCGGCCUGGCUCCGAAAGGGGUCGGCGCUUGUACACGCCUGGCCAUCCUCGGGGGAAGCUUUGCUGGCAUUAAGUUGUCGGCGGAGUGACGCUCGUCGUUUACUGUGAACAAAUUAGAGUGUUCAAAGCAGGCUUAGGCCGUUGAAUACAUUAGCAUGGAAUAAUGAGAUAGGACUUUGGUGGUCUAUUUUGUUGGUUUGCACGCCGAAGUAAUGAUUAAUAGGGGCGGUUGGGGGUAUUCGUAUUCAAUUGUCAGAGGUGAAAUUCUUGGAUUUAUGGAAGACGAACUACUGCGAAAGCAUUUACCAAGGAUGUUUUUAUUAAUCAAGAACGAAAGUUAGGGGAUCGAAGACGAUCAGAUACCGUCCUAGUCUUAACCAUAAACCAUGCCGACUAGAGA